UCAAAAGACGAAAACGCGUAAAAGGCUCUCUCUAGUCUCUUGUUCAGAUCUCACCUAUGCCACAAUUUUCACUCAGUGGUAGCCUCUCAAAACGAAUAUUCUUUGCUUAAAUUUUCAUAAUAUUUUUAUAGAAUCACUAUCUUUUUCUUUCUCCAACCGCCACUGCAUCCGAUGCUGUUUCCCUCAUCAUCUUGACGGCAAUUUUGCUGGUUCCUCACCAAAAGUUCAAGACUUCAAGAAAUGGAUCAACAAGUUGAGAGGCAGAAGCGUAGCAAGGAGAUGAAGAGGAAGAGUAGUAGUAAAGUGAACAAGCGCAACAAGUUAAUGAUAUGUUGUCGUUGCCCCUGUCGUGCAGCAACGUGCAUGUUCCGAGGUAUAGGGAGGUGCAUGUUUGUCACAUGUUACCCUGUUGUGCAGUGCUUGGGCUUGGAUGAACAUAGACAUCGCCACCAUCAUUGCAAGCACUUUGAUUGGUGACACCAACCAAAAUGGUUAAUAGACUCAAGCAUUCUUAUGGAGGGAUUUAGGAAAUUUUGAGAAGGAUGAAUAAAUGGUUCAGUUCUCACUUUGGUUCUGUUAUCUUUCCUCUGGUGAUAGUAAUACUAGUACAUAGCUUUACAUCAUUCUUUUCAUUAUGGAUAAACAAUUUGGAAAUUUGGAGGAGUUGUUCUAAGGUCUUAUUGCUCUCCAAUAUGCAAUUCAGCCAUCUCUUUUGGUUAUAGAAAAUUGUCAACAAAUUAUUCAUA